AGAGUUUGAUCAUGGCUCAGGAUGAACGCUAGCGGCAGGCUUAAUACAUGCAAGUCGAGGGGGCAGCAAUGUCACCGGCGAACGGGUGCGUAACGCGUAUGCAACCUGGCCAUAUCAGGGGGAUAGCCCUAGGAAACUGGGAUUAAUACCGCAUAACACAUUGGUCUGCAUGGAUUGAUGUUAAAAGAUUUAUCGGAUAUGGAUGGGCGUGCGUAGGAUUAGUUAGUUGGUGGGGUAACGGCUCACCAAGGCGAUGAUCCUUAGGGGCUCUGAGAGGAGUAUCCCCCACACUGGCACUGAGAUACGGGCCAGACUCCUACGGGAGGCAGCA
rnacentral:rRNA from 1 species